rnacentral:rRNA from 1 species
CAGUAGCCACGGUAAUACGUAGGUGGCAAGCGUUGUCCGGAAUUAUUGGGCGUAAAGCGCGCGCAGGUGGUUUAAUAAGUCUGAUGUGAAAGCCCGCGGCUCAACCGUGGAGGGUCAUUGGAAACUGUUAAACUUGAGUGCAGAAGAGGAGAGUGGAAUUCCAUGUGUAGCGGUGAAAUGCGUAGAGAUGUGGAGGAACACCAGUGGCGAAGGCGACUCUCUGGUCUGUAACUGACGCUGAGGAGCGAAAGCGUGGGGAGCGAACAGGAUUAGAUACCCGUGUAGUCCCUGUCUCUUAUAC